CCUGGAGCCAGCUCUAUCCCCUGCAGAGCCGUGAGGUCAGUGCUCCACAUCCUGGGGCAACGUGAAGUCCCUGAAGCUGUAGAAGGAAAUGUCACCAUGAUCCACCAGAGCAAAGAUCAGAGGGACAUCCCCACUCUGGACUCUAAUGAAGAGGGCCCCAGAGCCCUGGUUGGGGAGGUGCUAAGAAGAGCAAGGUGCUCACCACUCUUAGCCUGUGAAUUUCCACAAUCUACAUCCCUUCUGCUGGGUGAGUCUUAGACUAAAAUGGCAUUGGAGAGAGACUACCCUAAAAUGCCAGCAACGAGGAGCUCAGAGUAGGGCAGCACAAACUGGCUGUGUGGCCUUGUGUAGGUCACUUAGCCUCUCUGGACCUCAGGUUCCUCUCAGAGAUUGGCACACUGGCCAGGGGAGUACAGAGGAGUCCCACUUGGUUCACAGGAGAACUGGCAGCAGCUGGGGGAGGGGCAAUGCUGGCUCACUGCAUACCCACUAAUGCACAUCCGGGCAUAGGGUUUGCCAGGGUUAUUCUUUCGGAAUGUGGCCACAGCGUCAGCCUGGUAAACAUCAAAGCUGAUUUCCAAGCCCCCAGACUUCUCCAGCAGCCUGACAACACAAUGCGAAACGUUAUGACAUGAACUUUUCUCCCCAACCUUUCUCUUCCAUCCCACCCUUUCCCUCCAUCAGUGACAGGAAGCAGCCUCACAGAGGUGCCACCUGAGGGUUGGGGACUCUGAACCCUUGGGCUAACCCACUGGUUGUUCUUCCUCUUCCCCAGACACACAUGAACAGUAGUUAUUGCUCAGAGCUAGGCAUAGGGGUAGGGAUCCCUGGAACAGUUUUCAGGAGCCAAAUCCUAACCACCAACUCCUGGCGGCCAAGGUACUGCAGAGACAGCACUGCUUGGAAACUUACUGGGCACCUCCAUCAGCAAGGUGUGUUGUCUGCAGCACAGAAAUAUGCUGAAGGACCACGGCUACAAGGACAGAGAAAACAAGGUGCCGCCGCUGCAGCAGCUCCUUGUACUCCCGCCAGCUGGAACAGCUCUGCACCUCGGGAUCAGCGUUGACAUCUUCCCGGAACCGCGCGGCCUCCACGUGGUGCUCCCGUUCCCGCCUCGAGAGC